rnacentral:lncRNA from 1 species
AGCGCCGCGGGUGGGGAUGCGGGAGGCUGAGCGCACCGGCCAGCUAGCCCCUUUGUGCGGCGGGGGCUGCGGAGUGCUCCCUCCAAGACCGGUUGCACCCCGCUUUCCUGGCCAGGACUCUGGGCGCGGUUGGAGGCAUCUGUCCACCCAUGUGGUUCCAGACACGUUCAUGUGGCCACCAUGACCCCGUCGGCAUCACAGGGGUAACCAAGGUGAUCCUCCCUCUCUUCCUGUGUCCACUGGGGAUGGUAGAGACCAGCUUAAUGCUUUGAGAUCAGAUCCAUCACGAAAUCCGUAUGUCCUGAGACCUCCUGAAUCUUAAGAGAGCAGCAAGUUCCUGGGACAGAGGAGACAGAAGGGAAUUUCCAGGUUCUUCAGGACGUUCACAACCACACUGAGAAGCAUCUUUGCAGAUAAGUAUUUAAACUUACCAGCCCAUAGCCUACCAGCCUGCCCUCUUCUGGUCUGUGCAGGAAAGUGUAGUAUCCUAGAAUGCCAAAGUGGGAGGGGAAAUGGGUGAUGUAGCUCAUUCUCUUUUCUACCUCUAUGGAAGAAAGAAAGAGCCUGUCCCCAUUUUGUGGGGUCCCAGAAAGGGUGAUUUUCACACUUCACAUUUGGCGUUAGGGCUAGUAUUUCACAAACAUUACCGUCUGGAACUUUUGAAGGCUGAGUUAAAUGACUUCAUCUUGUGUACUUGUAGAACUGCUAUUAGAAGGAGGCUGGGGACUCCCUGAUGAUGUGAACCAGCCCUUCUCUUCUCAGUUUCAGCACUUUGUGAUCAUAUUUAUAAACCUUGGACAGGGCUCCUUGGCCUUAGAGUUAAGUGAAGAGUUAACACUGUGACUUUAGAUGCAUUUUUCUCAGUGUAAGUGUCUGAGCUCAUCUCCAGUUCUGGACUCGUGCCCCCACUCCCGGGUGCUGACAGCAAGCUCUGAAGAUAUGCUGAGAGAGCUCCCUGACUCUCCUGACUCAGGUCUGCCAGUUGAUGAAGACAGCACAGUUGUUACCAAAAACAAAACCUGGCAGAUGGUCCUAGGUCAGGAUUAGUGGUCAUUCUCUGGUCUUCUCCAGACUGGUGACACAGGGUGGUCUUAAAAGAGUCCUAGUCCAGCCUCUGGCUCCCCGAAUUUCCUCUGGUGCAUGGGGCAUCAGGAAAGGGCAGGGGAGAAGGAGGGGGAGCAGAAAAAUAACUGAGGCUGGGCAGAAGGGUCCCUUCCAUUUCCCAUCCAUUGCUUCAAACAAUGGGUGAUUACCGUGCACCUUGAGUGAAUGUCAAGGCAGGAAGGGUUCCAGGGCCACCCAGUGUGGCAGGAGCAGAGCUGGGAUCAGAAUUCUGGAUUCCUGACUCUCCGUUCAGCUGCUAUUCAGCUAUCACCAAGCUGCUGAGUUUGUCCUACUUUCUCCUGGGUCACAUUCUGCUGUUGUUGGGAAACAGGGAGUGAGUGAAGGGAACCUGGGAACCCUUCUCCCCUCACCUUUUAAGGAUGUUCUGGGGUGGAAUAAAGAGAGGUGGAGGGUGGGGUGCCUGGGCCCAGCCUCCCUGGCUCCUGGUCCUUCUUUCUUCAGCAGGGAGUUCUGGCAAGGCCUGGGCCUGGGGAGGGGGCCUGGGUGCAGUUUUCUCCUGCGGUGUGGUUGGCUCUUUUGUCUUCCAGGAUGGGCCUGUGGGGUCUGUGUGGGGAAGGAAGGAGCUGGGAGCCUGGGCUGCCUGUGUGUCGGCUGGAUGCUGCCAGGUGGCUCCAUCUGGGCCGCAUCUCCAGGACUCCUGGCCUGGACUUCUCUUUGGACCUCGGGUGACCUUGGAUUCUGGCCACAGUGACUUAGCGGUCAGACUCCGGUGGUUUUCUAGCCCGCUGGGUGACUCCCUGAAGAUCUCAUCCUCUUCACACCUGUUGGGAUGGAGCCUCCCAUGGAUAGGAACUCUUCCUGGUUGAUGCUCAGCAGAUGACUGAUCUGGCUCUGGAGGACAGCUCCAGGGGUAUGAGGGAGGCCUGGCAGCCCACUACUCCCUCCUCACCUGCUCGGGCCCUGCCUGCUGGGCCCUAUUGUCUGGGUCUGGGGGCCCUUUCCUGCCCCAUGUGAACUUGAUUCCUCCUCGCGUUUCUGCCGGUGACCAGACAGAGCCUGGCCUGGGCCAAGUCCCCACUGACCACACUUUCCCCAAGGCUGGGUCUCAAAGGACCCUACAGGAUGGGGACAGGAACAAGGAUGGGAGUCGGGGAGGGGCUGUCAGGCAGAGGGCAGAUGCAGCUCCUCGGGUGCCGCUGGCUGGAGUCCUUUGUCUCCAUUUGCUCAGUGCGUAAUUGUCAUUUUGUGGGGGACUUCCUUGGUGGGGCUUUUCCAUGCUUUUCCUCUCCCUGAUGGUUACAAAGAGGAGACAGUCAGGAUCUGGGAGGAGCUGGAGCCUUCCCCCUGUGCUGUUGAACUCUGGGAGGGGCAGCCAGAGGGGCUGAGAGUGCACCAUCCUGAAAAGAGAGGGUCUUUAAGAGAUAAGAUUUAGGCUAGGGAAAUUCACUAGAAAGAGACAGGUGGCCCUGGGUUUUUUUUCCUGCCAUCCAAAGGGAACCAGUCUUACCCAAAGGCUUAAGGGGUCACCUUAGCCCAGUCUCAGGACACUCUUCUCCAAUCAGAUCGCUGCUUCUAGUUGCACUGCUCCUGGAUUCUGUUCUUGGGGAACAGAAGGUGGCAGGACAGGCCCCACAAUCUGCAAUUCCAGCUCCCUCCAGAGGAGACAGUCCCAGCGUUUGCAAGAGAGCAGCUUGUGGCCUCCCUUAGGCAAGUUUAAAAGCCAGAUGUCCUUUUUCCCAGAAUGCGGAGUGGUGUGUACUAUUCAUCAGCUUGGGCUGCCACAGCACCAUGCCAGACUGGAUGGCUUAAACAUCAGGAAUUUAUUUUCUGCCAGUUCUGGAGGCUGGAAAGUCCAGAUCAAGGUGUUAAGACUUGGUUUCUGGUGAGGCCUCUCUCCUUGGCUUGCAGGUGGCACCUUCUCACUAUGUCCUCACAUGGCCUUUUCUCUGUGGAGAGGGACAGAGAGCAUGAGCAGGCUCUGGUGUCUCCUCCUCUUCUUAUAAAGACACUAAUAUCACCAUAUUAGGGCUUAAACCUAUGACCUCAUUUAACCUUAACCCCUUAAAGGUCCCAUCUCCAAAAACAGUCACAUAGCAGGCUACUGCUUCAACAUAUGCAUUUGGGGGAGGGGACACCAUUCAGUUCUUAACAGGGUGGUCACCGCAAACAUGGAAAGUCAGAGCCUUCUCCCCUUCAGAAUUCCCGCCCCCACCCAGGGAUGGGGAGGAGGAGCAGAGAGGUAUGGGAAGCAGACACGGAGAGUGGCAGGUACCAUGCUGGGGUGGCUCAGGAGUGCUUCGGAGGACAUAUGGAACUGGCAGGGCUCAGUGCAGGGAGGCGGAGGCCCUGGGAGAGCCGUGUCCUGAGAAGGGCCUGGGCUACAACCCUGGGCAAGUUACUUCACCUCUGAGCCUCCGAUGCUCUGUGAAAUGGAAGGAAUGUGCUUGCCUGUCAGGUGCAGGGAGAAUUCAGUGAGAUUGUGUGCCUAGCACAGUGCCUGACUCCCAGUAGGUGCUCAGCAAAUGCUCCCAUCCAUCUGGGAGUAUAGACUUAGGGUUUAUCUAUUUUUUUUUUUUUUUGGCUCUCUGGACUUUAAAACUCAGCAUCUUCUGAACCAGAGGCAUUUCUGAUUAGCCCUUCCCUACCUAUUUUCCUAGUAUCACUCUUUAAUCAGCUUGGGGAGGUGGCAGCAUUUCAUGGCCUCCGUAGUAACUCACAAUGCUUCCUGGGGUAUUUAAAUUCUACUCUCUCAUCAGCACUGAGCACCUACUUUGGGCCCUUUCCCGUGCUAGCCAUUUGGGGGAAAUAUAGGUGAAGAGUGGCUGGGGUUUGAACCUUUAGGAUUUCACAGCCAUGCUGGAUGGGAUAAAACCAGCUCACAUGGAGAAUCAGAGAAUGGGACAGUGCCACAAAACAGUCUACUGAGGCACAAGUUCUGAGUGCCUGGGAAGUGGUAGAGAGACCCCAGAGAGGGCUGCUGCAGUCUGGAACAGCUUCCUAGCAAGCUGUACCAAACAGGGCCUUGAAGGAUGAGAAAGAUCUGGCUGAGAUGAUACCCGACCCUCUAGGGAAAUUCUUAAAGUAACUUCUAGGAAAUGUCAUUGCUCCUUAAAAAAAAAAAAAAAAAAAAAAAAGCAGGUUCUAAUUCAAAUUCCGCUGCACUACUGAAGUAGUGCAGGACUUAUCAGAACCUUUAAAAUGCUAAUGGCAAUUUCAAAUACUCAGGGACAGGGCAUAGGAUGAAGUGUUCCUUGACUUUUAUGGCCGUAGAAUCUUUUUCUCAUGGAACAUCGUUUAGAACUGUGGGAGAUGCUAGGCUGGGGUUUCUAUGGGAAAAGUACAGCAGUGAUAGAAGAUGGCAUAAUUAGGGUACACUUAGGUGCUUUGUAGCAUUGGCUGAAAAGGAAGCAGACCGGGUGGGCGUGGGGGAGUCUCAACUUGGUUCCAGGAGCCAGGCCAGCUUGAUGCGUUUUUUUUUUUUCUAAUGGUGGGAGGGCAGGCCAAUAGUUGGAGAAACUAGAGGCCUGACAGUCGGUGAUGGAAGAGAUGUCUACUAAGCACGGUUGUCAGAUCUUUUGCGGAGAGAUGCGGGUGUGCGUGUGUCUGUCAGAGUGUAACAGGAUCCAGCCCUCUGGGAAGGGGCUGACCAGAACCAGGCAGGGGGUUUCUGUCUAGGACAAGUAGGGUCCAUUUUCAGGGGAGCUGAAAUAUUUGCAGGGGGUGCUCUGAGACCCACAGCCAAUAAAUAGGGAAGCAACAUGCUUUUGGGCAGGGUCCAUGUGGUUAGGGUUGAUUUUGAUGGGGCUGGGGGGCUUAGAGUUAGACCCCCUGCCCUGGUCAGGCCCCACUCCCUGGCUGGUGGGGGCGGGAGGCCUCUGAAGCUGCAGCUGGAGGGGCCGGGGCAGUGUUGCAUGGUGUGAUUAACCUACUAACCCAGGGCUCAGCCGGGACGCUGUGGCGUGUGACGAGGUGCCUGGCCUUCUGCCAACCAACUAACCCACUAACCAGGCCCGAGCAUGCCCUACUAACCACCCCCCCGCAGCCAGAUCCUACUAACUGUGCAGCUCAUGGGCCUUUCAAGGGGCUGGGAUAUGGGGGCAGCCAAGGCUCCAGAAGGCUCUGCCUAUGGGCUGGGAUCUUUGUGCAGACCCACGUUCCAGGACAGAGAAUGCAAAUAAGACUCACCAACUCUGCCACUUCCUGUUGAGUGAGUUUGAGUAAGUCACCUCACUUCUCUCAACCUCAGUUUCCUCAGUGGUAGAAUGCGAGUUCUGAUACCUUACAGGUUGCAGUGAGGAUUCCCGUCAAUAUAAGGGUCUCAGCACAUGGCAGACACCUAAAAAAAAAAAAAGUAUGAGGAUGGAGGAAGGCCCCUCAAACCUGGUUGAACACGUCUGCUGCCUAGGCCCUGGCCUCUCUGGGUGUUCUGCACACAGAUCCUUCUGCCUGGGGCAAGACACUUGGCUUUGAAUCCAUGUCACUUCCCCACAUUCUUCCUCCGUCUCAGCUUUCUUUUCUGUAGGCAGCUCUUUUGUUCGAUUACUAACCCGUCUAACCCCUGGGGUGCCUCAACUGCACCCCGAUCAUCCCUUAACAAACUAACGGACCUGCGUGCGUUCUUCCUUUUCUCUUAGCGACUCCUGUGUGUGUCUGCUGAGGUGCCCUGUCCGCUGGUGCUGUGCUCUGACUUACUAACCCAGCCCCUACUAACCCUGUUUUCUCUUCUUACUAACCCCAGCCCUGCCGAGCUCUGGGCUCCCCCCGGGGGCUGGUCCCCCUCCUUUUGGCAAGCAGAUGACCUGGGGCUACUGGCCCUGUAGACAGAUGUCCCACUUUGCUGCCCCAUAUUGGCUGUAAGAUCAGAGUCCACUGGGCCAGGUCUAAGGCAGGGGAUGGCCCUAUUAACAAGACUCAGAGGAGGAAGAGGUGGUCCUGUGGAUGUGGGAGGCUGGACUCUGAGUAUGACAUCUCUCCUAUGUGCAGAAGUCUGGUUGCCACUGGGAGUAGGUGGGACCAGGGAAAUCUCUGGGACGUGAGUGUGGAGGCCUGUUGGUCUAGACUCUAGACUGUGGAGCUCUGAGCUUUUGUGUCCUCUGGAAGGAAGCUGGGGAAGAAUCCUCUCCAUUGUUAAGUGACGGGGAUAGAAGCUGUCCUGCACAGGAAGUCACGAGGGGGGCGUAUCCCACGAGGAAGGCAGGAGGGGGCGUGCCCCUCACCGGAAAUUAGCAGAGGGGCGUGUCCCACACCGGAAGUCAGAAAGCGGAGCCUUUCUUACACCGGAAGUCAAUGAAGCGGGUCUUUCCUACGCUAAAAACCACUGAGUGGAGUAUUUAGUACACAGGAAGUCGGCCAGAGAAACAUUUCUCAUAUUUGAAGGCCGGAAAGAGGGACAUUUCUGACACCGGAAGUCAGUGAGAGGACUCUUUCCCACACAGGAAGUCAGCUAGAGAGCCGUCUCCCCUCUCUGGAGCCGAGAGAGGCCGGUUUCCCCCACCGUAGCCCACCUGGGAGGAAUUUUCCAGAGAUCACUGUCUGAUGACCCUGUCUUGGAAUUGGAGCCAUGCAAGUUACACUGACCACGUUUGGGUUGGGAUAUUGAGGAGGUUAUGGUUAAAAGCAUACGAUGGGAGAUCAUAUUGUACUUGCGAGUGAGACCCGGCUGGAGGAAUGUUUUAAUUCUUCGGAAAUACCAAGUGGUCUCUAGAUGGGUUUUCACUAUUUUUCCCAGGCUAGUCUCCAACUUCUGGGCUCAAGCGAUCCACCCGCCUUGGCCUCCUAAGUCCUAGGAUUAUAGGUAUGAGCCACUGCGCCUGGCCUUUUUGCCUUUUGAAAGUAUCUGUUGUUAACAAUAUUCAAUUGGGUUGAAUCUUGCUAGGGACCAAGGUGAAUUUGCAUAAAUUAGUCUAUGCCAAUUUGCAUACUAUCAGCAAAUUUGUAGUGUACAGAAUUUUGGAAAUAGAAGGAAGCUAAGAGGGGUGUCAAAUGCAGCUUCUUCUUUUUUUACCUGAAAAGAUACCAAAGUCCAGCUCAGGGAAGGUCACACAGCUAAUUCUUAUCAUGGGGAGACAGACCCAGGGACAUCAUGGUGCCUCCGAGAUUAGUACGGCCCCUCAAACAUCCCCAUUUUCUGUCCCUAGCCCAUUGGAACCCCUUAAAGUUGGUCCCUCGAGCUCGGGUGAUAGCACACAUGAUGGAAAGUAGGCAGGCUUGCCAUUGAAGCUCCAACCUAGCUCUGCACCACAUCAGCUGUGUGACCUUGAGCAAAUCACUUAACCACUCUGAGCAUGGCAUUUGUAAAUGUCAAGGUAGCAACGCCCUCUUUACUGCCCUGUUGUGACAAAUAAGAUAUAUUCCAUAAAUAUGAUCCAUGUAGUAUUAAACUACCAUUUACUGAGUCUCCCCUAUGGAAAGCACUUAGUAGGUGCUCAAAAACUCCUAGUCCUUUCUUCCCCUCUUUCAAUGUGUCACUGCAUCUGGGUAAUUUAUACCCAUUUCCUGUUUUCCUUUGAGAAGUGCAUGUCAUGCUCUGCACAAAAGUGACUCUUAAUGGUGGCAUUUCAAGCAUCAUGGCAGAGUGCUGAGACGCUGAUGAAGAUAUUUUAGGCUGGGGUGCAUGGGGAGCACUCUCAGGGCCUCUCAUGCGCAUCCUGAGCCCUUCCUGUGAACCAGACUGACCCUGGCUUCUGUGCCAUUUUCAUUCCAGCCAAGAAUGUUCUGAAAUGAAGCCAAUAUCUGAAGGAUCUAGGAUGCCUGUUCCCCUCUCUUAUGCUGUCUCGGGGGAUGAUUUAGCCACCAAGAAUUUUCCUUAUGGUUGCAAGAUGAUUAAAAAAAACCACACACUCAGAUGCUUUUCGGAGGUUGACAUUUUUCACAGCCCCUCUUCCUCCUCCAUAGAUUUCCUGGAGGUUCCAUCCAGCUCUGGCUCUAGCUGGCUCCUUGACUCUGGACAAGUCACUUCAUCUCUCCAAGCCUUGUCUAUAAAGUAGGGAUAAUACUCCUUCCCACUUCAGAGAGUCAUUCGGGGAUUAAACUGUGACAUGUAUGUAGCCAAGGGUCCAGCACACACUGACAACUCACCAAAUAUUAGCCAUCACUCCAAACUAAGAAGGCAGGAUUCCGGCUGGGCACGGUGGCUCACGCCUGUAAUCCCAGCACUUUGGAAGGCUGACGCAGGUGGAUCAUGAGGUCAAGAGAUUGAGACCAUCCUGGCCAACAUGGUGAAACCCCGUCUCUACUAAAAAUACAAAAAUUAGCUGGGCGUGGUGGUGCGUGCCUGUAGUCCCAGUUACAGGCUGGGAGGCUGAGGCAGGAGAAUCACUUGAACCUGGGAGGCGGAGGUUUCAGUGAGCCAAGAUUGUGCCAUUGCACUCCAGCCUGGCGACAGAGUGAGACAGAGUGAGACUCCGUUAAAAAAAUAAUAAUAAUAAAUAAGAAAAGAAGGCAAGAUUCCAUUAACUUCCAGAAGGUAGACUGUCUUAAAUAUUGGGCAAUUCCCUUUCCUCCUCUCGGCCUCAGCUUUCCCAUCUGAAAAAUGGGAGUAGGACAAGGGAACUGGAUCGCAGGCAUUGACAUAACUUUCUGUGGUUAUUAAAUAGGGCCCCACAAAGACAGUGUCGGGGACCAAGGAGCUCAGGCCGCCUGCCCCACCUUUGCCACCUGCAAGACUGUAUACUCCAGCCAGUAAGGACCUCACUGUUCUCACUCACUAGUGUGUCCUCAGUCCCAGCCCAGGGACUCUGGCUAGGGGCUGACACUUAAUAAAUCCAUGUGAAUGGAUGCAGGAACUCUGCUCCGAUCUGUUCUAUCUGCUUAGUUUUUGCAUACAAUUUUGUUUGAACAAAGAACCACGUGGUUUAUCUAUCAGUCAGGGCUCAGCAGGAAACACAUGGCACAUAUAUAAUUGGGAUAAUUUGAGGAGAGUUUAGUAAAGGAAUUGUUUACAAAGGUGUGGGCAGGGUGUAGGGAACCCACACAGGAGGGUAUAACUGGGGUCUAGUGUCAGCGGGCGCCAUCAUCAUUCCUAGGCCAGAUGAGGGAAGGUUAAGAGUUAAUGGCCGGGCGCAGUGGCUCAAGCCUGUAAUCCCAGCACUUUGGGAGGUCGAGGAGGGCGGAUCACAAAGUCAGGAGAUCGAGACCAUCCUGGCUAACAUGGUGAAACCCCGUCUCUACCAAAAAUACAAAAAAUUAGCCGGGCAUGGUGGCGGGCGCCUGUAGUCCCAGCUACUCGGGAGGCUGAGGCAGGAGAAUGGCGUGAACCCGGGAGGCG